AGAGAGAUUUUAAAACAUAUUAUUAAUUCUCUAGCUUUCUCUUCUCUCUGUAGAAUUAUCUGCUGAGAGUUGAGAGAGAAAGAGGAGUUUUUUUACUUUAUUUGUUUAAAAUGGCGGGUAUUGCUAUGGCUUUGAUGGUUGUUUUUCCUCUCUUCUUCGUCGGCUUUAUUUUCCCAGCUGCACAGGCCCAAGGUCCGGCUCCCGUUCCCACAAGUGAUGGGGUUACACUUGAUCAAGGGAUUGCCUAUGGGUUGAUGUUGUUGGCUCUUGCGCUGACCUAUCUCAUCCACUGAGUAUGAAGCUGGUUGAAAUUGUUGUUCCAUCUAUUAGGGAUGGUAAUGUUCUGUUGUAACUUGUGGGGAUUAUUGUUAAAUAACUUUAGGGCAGGGGUGGCCCGUUUGUCCACAAUUCGAUCUGCUUCUAGAUUAAGGUUUUUUUUUUUUUUUUU